rnacentral:rRNA from 1 species
GACGAACGCUGGCGGCGUGCUUAACACAUGCAAGUCGAACGGACAGGCGCGGCGUUUGUUGGGUGCUCGAUUGGCGAACGCGUGAGUAAAACGCGAGUAACCUGCCCUUGACUUUGGGAUAACUUCAGGAAACUGGGGCUAAUACCCGAGAGGAGCUCCUGCUGCAUGGUGGUGGUUGGAAAGAGUCGGCGGUUGUGGAUGGUUUCGCGGCUUAUCAGCUAGUUGGGGGGGUAGGGGCGUACGAAGUUUUUGAGGGGUAGGCGGCAUGGGAGGGUGGCCGGCCACAUGGGGACUGAGAUACGGCACAGACGCCUACCGGACGCAGCGGUCGGGAACAUUGCGCAAUAGGGGCGAGUCAGAUGCAGAAGUGCCGCGUGCGGGAUGCUGGGUUUCGGGGUGUAAACAAAUUUGUAAUGUAAUGAAGACGUAGUGACGGUAAUGGGUCAAGAAGCCCCGGCUAACUACGUG